rnacentral:rRNA from 1 species
AAUAGACGGGGGCCCGCACAAGCGGCGGAGCAUGCGGCUUAAUUCGAUGCAACGCGAAGAACCUUACCAGGGCUUGACAUGCACGGUGCACCUCUAGAGAUAGAGGGUCCUUUUGGGUCGUGCACAGGUGGUGCAUGGUUGUCGUCAGCUCGUGUCGUGAGAUGUUGGGUUAAGUCCCGCAACGAGCGCAACCCUCGUCCUGUAUUGCCAGCAGCGGCUUCGGCCGGCUGGGGACUUGCGGGAGACUGCCGGGGUCAACUCGGAGGAAGGUGGGGACGACGUCAAAUCAUCAUGCCCCUUAUGUCCUG